ensembl:lncRNA
CUCUUGUUCAAAUGCAGAUUCUGACUCCUCCCCCUUCAGGAGGGGCCUGGGAGGCCUCAACUCUAAGGAGCUCCAGGUGAUGCUGGUCAGCACCCACCCCCUCUAGCAAGCCAGGUGGGAUAACCACGAUAGAGGACGGGACACUUCCGGAAACCCAGCAUGCUCCCAAGGCAGCCGGUUCUGGCCCCUCUUGCAGCCCUCUUUCAGCCACUGCUUCCUUCCCGUCCCUGCCAAAAACAGCACCAGCGUCAGGCCCUGUCUCUGCUGCAGCCCUGUGCCCAUGCUCUCCUCUAGGAGACUGUCUCGGGUUCCUUUGAGAUGAAAGAAAUGCCCGGUUAAAUUUGAACUGAGUAUAUUCAUUGGAUUAAUCAUCUAGUGUGUCUAUUGGGACUGACAAAAACGACGACAAUUUUUUCUCUGAAAUUCAAAUG